UAGAAUCUAUUAUAAAUUACUUGCUACUUUGAAUCCUAGAUGUAAGUUAUAUGAUACAUCUGAUCAAACUAUUUUGGUAGAAACUAAUUUCGCCAGAUCUAAGGUCACUACUAGAAGACCUAUAAAAUGGGAAGAAAUUAAUUUUCCUACAACUUGGAUUCUAGAUUCUGUUAUACCCCCUGAACAAAUGACCGAUGUUGUCACUAAUUCUGAAUAUUCUCAUAUUAGUCAAAAUUCCG
rnacentral:lncRNA from 1 species